AUACUUAUCUGGUAGGGGAAAUACCAUGAUCAUGGGGGUGGUUUUCCUAGGGUGAGGCUGAUUCAUUGCACUUGUGGGUGUGCCGACCUCUGCAAUUUCCCCAAAGGCGGGAAACUUGACUGCAUAAUUUGUGGUAGCGGGGAACUGCGUCCAUGCUGUCCCCUG
ensembl:snRNA U1 U1 spliceosomal RNA